GCGGCAGAGUACAGACAAGGACACCUCGACGAAGCAAGGACAGCCAAGGACGGCUGCAGGCAAGGGAGGCAGAGGCCGUGGAAAGAAUCGGGGCAAGAAGAGACGAGGACGCAAGAGGAAGGGAAACCCCAACUCGGCGCCGAGUGGGAAGGCAGCUUUGCCAACGAUGCAGCAACCUGCGAUCUUGGACCUCCGAGAAAGCAGACUUAUGGAUACGUCUACAAAUGCACCGAGAGCGGACACUGGCUCAGCCCCGGGCUCUCGCCCCAUUGCAAACCCUCAGACUUUUCU